rnacentral:rRNA from 1 species
CCUACGGGAGGCAGCAGUGAGGAAUAUUGGUCAAUGGACGAGAGUCUGAACCAGCCAAGUAGCGUGAAGGAUGACUGCCCUAUGGGUUGUAAACUUCUUUUAUAUGGGAAUAAAAUGUUCCACGUGUGGGAUUUUGUAUGUACCAUAUGAAUAAGGAUCGGCUAACUCCGUGCCAGCAGCCGCGGUAAUACGGAGGAUCCGAGCGUUAUCCGGAUUUAUUGGGUUUAAAGGGAGCGUAGGUGGAUUGUUAAGUCAGUUGUGAAAGUUUGCGGCUCAACCGUAAAAUUGCAGUUGAAACUGGCAGUCGUGAGUACAGUAGAGGUAGGCGGAAUUCGUGGUGUAGCGGUGAAAUGCUUAGAUAUCACGAAGAACUCCGAUUGCGAAGGCAGCUCACUGGACUGCAACUGACACUGAGGCUCGAAAGUGUGGGUAUCAAACAGGAUUAGAUACCCUAGUAGUC